GUAGUACUCCCUUCGUUCCAAAUUACUCGUCGCUGAAAUGGAUGUAUCUAGAACUAAAAUACAUCUAGAUACAUCCAUAAGUGCGACAAGUAAUUCGGAACGGAGGGAGUACUUG
rfam:Triticum aestivum genome assembly, contig: Triticum_aestivum_CS42_TGACv1_scaffold_423452_5BS